GCCUCCUUGGCUUAGUGGUAGAGCGUUGGUCUUGUAAACCAAAGGUCGCUAGUUCAAUUCUGGCAGGGGGCA